rnacentral:rRNA from 1 species
CCCUUAGAUGUUCUGGGCCGCACGCGCGCUACACUGACGAUGGCAACGAGUUUUUCCUUCGCCGAAAGGUGUGGGUAAUCUUUUGAAACAUCGUCGUGCUGGGGAUAGAUCAUUGCAAUUUUUGAUCUUGAACGAGGAAUUCCUAGUAAGCGCAAGUCAGCAGCUUGCGCUGAUUACGUCCCUGCCCUUUGUACACACCGCCCGUCGCUCCUACCGAGUGGGUGAUCCGGUGAAUGACUCGGACUCUGGCAUUGCUAGCAACAUAGCUUCGCCGGAGGAAGUUUUGUGAACCUUAUCACUUGGAGGAAGGAGAAGUCGUAACA